UAGGAGUCUUCUGGAUGCAGAGAAUGUGCUGUAGCGUGCUGAUGCUCUAAGGAUGCAAGUGAUGGUCCUGAUGCAGGGGAGACUGGGGGAGGAGCUGCGGAGGGUGAUGAUGUCAACGCUCUGACCAAUCACUGAGAAGGUCAAUGGAGCUUAUCCCAGCAUCUCGGGUCACAGGCGGGGGACACUCUGAAUGGAUGGCCAGUCCAUCAAAGGGCUCACACAUAUUCGCACCUAUGGGAAAGCCAUGAAACCCAUGUAGACACAGGGAGAUCAUACAUACCUAAAUAAUGGCAAAUGCUGACAGACAUCCAGGAGAGCUGAAUCAUAGAUGCUCACCGACCUUGAAACUCACAGCAAAGGAAAGACCAGCCAGGCCUGUUUCUCCAUGUGAUCACUCCAGGCUCAUAAAGAGAAAUUACAGAGUUGUCCAGCCAACAGAAUAUCAUUGUUGAACAUAUUGGGCCAAAAAUGCUUUUUGCAGUGUUACCGGAGAAUAGGGCCUCUAACAGGACAUGAAAAAUUCUGUCUAAAUUGAGCUGUGAUUAAGUUAUGUCCACUCUCAGGCAAUGGUCAUUUAAAGUACACUUUGGCUUCAAUAAUUGAUGUUGCUCAAAGAAAACUCUAUGAGCCAAAAGUGAACUGCUGACUACUGAAGUUUUCAAAUGAACCAACUUAAUUUAAUAAAUGACAGUAUAUACUUUCACAAAGUGCU